rnacentral:rRNA from 1 species
UGCAAGUCGAGCGAGACCUUCGGGUCUAGCGGCGGACGGGUUAGUAACGCGUGGGAACGUACCCUUCUCUAUGGAAUAGCCAUUGGAAACGAUGAGUAAUACCAUAUACGCCCUUCGGGGGAAAGAUUUAUCGGAGAAGGAUCGGCCCGCGUUAGAUUAGAUAGUUGGUGGGGUAAUGGCCUACCAAGUCUACGAUCUAUAGCUGGUUUUAGAGGAUGAUCAGCAACACUGGGACUGAGACACGGCCCAGACUCCUACGGGAGGCAGCAGUGGGGAAUCUUAGACAAUGGGCGCAAGCCUGAUCUAGCCAUGCCGCGUGUGUGAUGAAGGCCUUAGGGUCGUAAAGCACUUUCGCCAGGGAUGAUAAUGACAGUACCUGGUAAAGAAACCCCGGCUAACUCCGUGCCAGCAGCCGCGGUAAUACGGAGGGGGUUAGCGUUGUUCGGAAUUACUGGGCGUAAAGCGCGCGUAGGCGGAUCAGAAAGUAGGGGGUGAAAUCCCGAGGCUCAACCUCGGAACUGCCUCCUAAACUCCUGGUCUUGAGUUCGAGAGAGGUGAGUGGAAUUCCAAGUGUAGAGGUGAAAUUCGUAGAUAUUUGGAGGAACACCAGUGGCGAAGGCGGCUCACUGGCUCGAUACUGACGCUGAGGUGCGAAAGUGUGGGGAGCAAACAGGAUUAGAUACCCUGGUAGUCCACACCGUAAACGAUGAAUGCCAGUCGUCGGGCAGUAUACUGUUCGGUGACACACCUAACGGAUUAAGCAUUCCGCCUGGGGAGUACGGUCGCAAGAUUAAAACUCAAAGGAAUUGACGGGG